CCUUUGUACACACCGCCCGUCGCUACUACCGAUUGAAUGGCUUAGUGAGGUCUUCGGAUCGGCUUUGGGGAACCGGAAACGGUACUCUAUCGCUGAGAAGUUGAUCAAACUUGGUCAUUUAGAGG
rnacentral:rRNA from 1 species